GAUGAACGCUGGCGGCGUGCCUUCACAUGCAAGUCGAACGAACCUUCGGGUUAGUGGCGGACGGGUGAGUAACGCGUGAGAAUCUGCCCUCAGGAGGGGGACAACAGCUGGAAACGGCUGCUAAUACCCCAUAUGCCGCGAGGUGAAAUGAAUUUCGCCUGAGGAUGAGCUCGCGUCUGAUUAGCUAGUUGGUGUAGGUAAUGGCUCACCAAGGCAUCGAUCAGUAGCUGGUCUGAGAGGAUGAUCAGCCACACUGGGACUGAGACACGGCCCAGACUCCUACGGGAGGCAGCAGUGGGGAAUUUUCCGCAAUGGGCGAAAGCCUGACGGAGCAACGCCGCGUGAGGGAUGAAGGCCUCUGGGCUGUAAACCUCUUUUAUCAAGGAAGAGGAUCUGACGGUACUUGAUGAAUAAGCCACGGCUAAUUCCGUG
rnacentral:rRNA from 1 species